rnacentral:misc_RNA from 1 species
GGUGAAUAAUGAUGGCGCUGGCUUUUAUUAUUAUGACUAUCUCCAUGAGGAGUUUCUUUCCCAUCAUCCCACUCUGCAUGUCAUUACAAACAAUUAGCAAGGCUCCACUCCAGAAGUGAAAUCGCCACCGCAAGAGGCUGCGUCGAAGACAGAGGAGAGAACUUUACCGCCACCAGUAGCACUCGUACAAGUAGGAACUGAAUGGGUCUCAAGAAUAAAUUGGGCAGUAAUGAAGGAGGACGCUCAUAAGAGUCCUGGGAGCAGUGGUUUGACCGGCUCGAACUAUUUUGCCGCUGGAGCUGAGCUCAGCAGCUCGCCUGGGAAUGGA